UGGGGAAUAUUGGACAAUGGGGGGAACCCUGAUCCAGCCAUGCCGCGUGUGUGAAGAAGGCCUUAUGGUUGUAAAGCACUUUAAGCGAGGAGGAGGGUACUGGUAUUAAUACUACCAGGUACUGGACGUUACUCGCAGAAUAAGCACCGGCUAACUCUGUGCCAGCAGCCGCGGUAAUACAGAGGGUGCGAGCGUUAAUCGGAUUUACUGGGCGUAAAGCGUGCGUAGGCGGCUAAUUGAGUCGGAUGUGAAAUCCCCGAGCUUAACUUGGGAAUUGCAUUCGAUACUGGUUAGCUAGAGUGUGGGAGAGGAUGGUGGAAUUCCAGGUGUAGCGGUGAAAUGCGUAGAGAUCUGGAGGAAUACCGAUGGCGAAGGCAGCCAUCUGGCCUAACACUGACGCUGAGGUACGAAAGCAUGGGGAGCAAACAGG
rnacentral:rRNA from 1 species